rnacentral:lncRNA from 1 species
CCCCAGAGUCCACCUCUGUGACUGAGGUGUCAAGACCAGGGAGGAUGACUGACCUCUCUUCACACCUCUGUACUUGGCAGAUUUCAGAUGAGAGUUAGUCCAGAACAUGGUGCAGAAGGACAACUCUUCCUCUGUGUACUGCUGAAGGGCUCCAGUGAUGUCCAUCCCAUAGCAAAAACACUCCCAUCUUUCAGAUUUUGGGGAAUAUAUUAUAAACAUGGUCAUAGAGGCAUCGUUGUCCGCUGACACUUUGACUUUCAUUAGCACGUUCUUCAACAAAUACAUAUUAAACACCACAUAGAAGAAACAAUUUUGGCUGUGCACUGAUCACCUUCUUUUGCCAUGGCAAAGUAGUAGGACAGUAACACUGGAUGGGAAUGACAAGUGUUCACUCAGAUAAGGAAUAUUGACAAUGACAAAUCCUGCAAGUAUUGAC